GAUGAACGCUGGCGGCGUGCCUAAUACAUGCAAGUCGAGCGAACAGACGAGGAGCUUGCUCCUCUGACGUUAGCGGCGGACGGGUGAGUAACACGUGGAUAACCUACCUAUAAGACUGGGAUAACUUCGGGAAACCGGAGCUAAUACCGGAUAAUAUAUUGAACCGCAUGGUUCAAUAGUGAAAGACGGUUUUGCUGUCACUUAUAGAUGGAUCCGCGCCGCAUUAGCUAGUUGGUAAGGUAACGGCUUACCAAGGCAACGAUGCGUAGCCGACCUGAGAGGGUGAUCGGCCACACUGGAACUGAGACACGGUCCAGACUCAUACGGGAGGCAGCAGUAGGGAAUCUUCCGAAAUGGGCGAAAGCCUGACGGAGCAACGCCGCGUGAGUGAUGAAGGUCUGCGGAUCGUAAAACUCUGUUAUUAGGGAAGAACAAAUGUGUAAGUAACUAUGAACGUCUUGACGGUACCUAAUCAGAAAGCCACGGCUAACUACGU
rnacentral:rRNA from 1 species